rnacentral:rRNA from 1 species
CAGUAGCCACGGUAAUACGUAGGGCGCAAGCGUUAUCCGGAAUUAUUGGGCGUAAAGAGCUCGUAGGCGGUUUGUCGCGUCUGCCGUGAAAGUCCGGGGCUCAACCCCGGAUCUGCGGUGGGUACGGGCAGACUAGAGUGAUGUAGGGGAGACUGGGAUUCCUGGUGUAGCGGUGAAAUGCGCAGAUAUCAGGAGGAACACCGAUGGCGAAGGCAGGUCUCUGGGCAUUAACUGACGCUGAGGAGCGAAAGCAUGGGGAGCGAACAGGAUUAGAUACCCCAGUAGUCCCUGUCUCUUAUAA